GCUUUUAUAGGACAACAGUCGUCCAUUGAUUUUAGGCAUCAAAACUUCUUGGUGCAACUCCAAGUAAAAGCU
rnacentral:tRNA from 1 species